GUGACCCUAUGAGUUUAGAGUUGAGAAUCUGAAUCUUCAGUGAAGAGGGAGGAAGAGAGGAUGAAACCCUUGAUUGUUUCUGUAGUGGUGCUGUGGCUUCAGUUAAACUGGGUGAGCAGCCAGCAGAAGGUGCAACAGAACCAGGAAUCCCUCAGUGUCCCAGAGGGAGCCAUGGUCUCUCUCAACUGCACUUACAAGUGAUCAAAAUUCUCAGUACUUUUGGUGGUACAGGCAGCAUUCUGGGAAAAGCCCCAAGGCACUGAUGUCCAUCUUCUCCAAUGGUGAGAAGGAAGAAGGCAGAUUCACAGUUCACCUCAACAAAGCCAGCCGGCAUGUUUCCCUGCACAUCAGAGACUCCCAGCCCAGUGACUCAGCUGUCUACCUUUGUGCAGUGAGCACACAGUGCCCCCCAGGCACCUGCAGCCUGCACCCAAACCUACUGGGCCUGUCAAGGCUUUAG